rnacentral:rRNA from 1 species
ACUCAAAUGAAUAGACGGGGACCCGCACAAGCGGUGGAGCGUGUUGUUUAAUUCGACGAUAAGCGAAGAACCUUACCAAGGUUUGACAUCCCACUAACUUCUCCGAAAGGAGAGGGUGCCUUCGGGCAGGUGGUGACAGGUGCUGCAUGGCCGUCGUCAGCUCGUGUCGUGAGAUGUUUGGUUAAGUCCAUCAACGAGCGCAACCCUUGUAUUUAGUUGAAUUUUUCUAGAUAGACUGCCCUGGUAACAGGGAGGAAGGAGGGGAUGAUGUCAGGUCAGUAUUGCCCUUACACCUUGGGCUACAAACACGCUACAAUGGCCAGUACAAAGGGCAGCCAACCCGCGAGGGGGAGCAAAUCCCAUCAAAGCUGGUCUCAGUUCGGAUUGCAGGCUGAAACUCGCCUGCAUGAAGCUGGAAUCGCUAGUAAACGUAGGUCAGCACACUACGUUGAAUACGUUCCCGGGUCUUGCACACACCGCCCGU